rnacentral:lncRNA from 1 species
AGCAUGAUUCAGAUGCAUGCCCAUACUCCAGGGAGGUAUCAUUACUGUUCCUACUUUGGAAGUGGGGAUACCAAGGUACAGAGGGGCUACUCAGAUGGCCCACGGUCACACAGCCCAAAGUGGCAGAGCAGCAUUCAAAUCCAGGCAGUGCUGCUCUAAGUGUGUUGUCCUUAUCAUGGUUCUGCACAGCUCUCCACCAGGUACCUGAGAGCAGAUGGGAGUGUGCUGGAAUUGGACAGACAGUCCAGGGCCGGGUCAUCUUCAUGAUGUGUGCACCCUCAGCGAGAGGGGCCACAGCAAAAUGGUUAAGAACUUUGACUCUUCAUUCAAGCCAACUGAGUUUAAACCCCACCUUUUGUUGUCAUGGGCUGAGCGAUUUGCAGCCAGUUGCUAACUUCUUUGUGCCAUGUUUUCCCCUAUGGAGAAAUGGGAUAGAAGGAGAGCCUCCUCGGAUCCUGGAAAGACUGGGGAGAGAUGUGGUGUGCCACUAGGACACUCACAGACAUGAGAGUGGUGUCCUGCCCACUUCUCAUCUGGGCCUGGGGCUUGCCACCAUUAACUACUACCAGUGAGCUACACACACUGGAUUUUAAACACCGUCAUUGAUGCUCAUUUUUCUGCCUAUUUUAAUUUUUCACCCAUUUGUUAUAUUUCUGUUGAUCGUGUUACUUUUGGCCUAGCUAUAUUUAUUAAAAUAGCUAUAUCAAACAUCUGUC